rnacentral:rRNA from 1 species
AGGACGAACGCUGGCGGCGUGCCUAACACAUGCAAGUCGAACGGACGAGGGGAGCUUGCUCCCCGAGUUAGUGGCGGACGGGUGAGUAACACGUGAGCAACCUGCCCUUCGGAGGGGGACAACAGCUGGAAACGGCUGCUAAUACCGCAUGAAACAGCGGGGAGGCAUCUCCCUACUGUCAAAGAUUUAUCGCCGAAGGAUGGGCUCGCGUCUGAUUAGAUAGUUGGUGAGGUAACGGCCCACCAAGUCGACGAUCAGUAGCCGGACUGAGAGGUUGAACGGCCACAUUGGGACUGAGAUACGGCCCAGACUCCUACGGGAGGCAGCAGUGGGGAAUAUUGGGCAAUGGGGGGCAACCCUGACCCAGCAACGCCGCGUGAAGGAAGAAGGCUUUCGGGUUGUAAACUUCUUUGACGAGGGACGAUAGUGACGGUACCUCGAAAACAAGCCACGGCUAACUACGUGCCAGCAGCCGC